CGUGAGAAAUCUUUUGGCUGUCGGUAGGUGGCUAAAAUGGAUUGUCCCCCAUCCACCAGGUGACGCGAGUGUCUUCGUGAGGACGAAAUAUUUGCCAUUUGUUUCCCAGACUCUGACUGGAAGUGUAUUCCAAAUUCAUACGGAAUUGCGGUGUCGAUCUACAUUUUCAGCUAUGAAAUGCAAUCUGGCAUAUAAUUUCACUUGGCCAAAUAAUGUAACGACGUGGGUCGAAACUGCUGUCCAUUUUGCCGAAAUGUCGGAGCCGUACCUCUCAUCUCGUGCAGAAACACUUCAGAGCUAGUAAAGUUAAAGACGGAGAUCCCUUUGCUCAACUGAUGCAGAAAUUGAGAACACGACAAAGUCUAAGCUUCAUGGCUGUUGUAGCAUCAACGUGGUUUUGUUGCAGCCAGCUAGUGAGAAAGGUAUGAUGGAGUCAAAUUGAGCUGCAGCUGCUGCAUACAGUUUAUCAAGCUGUUGUUAUCGCUAUUGUCACAACAGGAAGACUUCUUGAAUUGGAGUUUUUGGUCAGUUGGAGCUGUUUACGUUGUUGCUGUUUGGUGUACAGUGGUUUUGCAGUCCCUUUCCAGUUGAGAGAUGCUCUGAAAUGGAGCUUGUGCAGACUUGCAGUUCAACAUCACACUUAAAUGUGUCAUUUGUCUAUGUUGGUGUCCAUGCAGUAUAUGCAUUGUUGAACAGUUGGUUAAAAUAGUCUAUGCUGCCUGAUGGCUGCCGGUCUUAUUUUAUCGGUUGCAUUUGGCGAUAAUCGUCUCUUGCUACCUGUACCGGCGUUGAGUUGAAUCGUAUGCUGCCGUUCCAUAGACUUGACCCAUUGGUGAAACUGAGGAGAGGUUGCUGAAAUUCAAGACUCGUCAAUAAAUUAUGUAGAUGUAGACAAAUUACAGGUGCAUAUCUGGGCUCCCUUCUUCAGUGGCCCCGUUUCCCUAAAUAACCACUAACCAACGCCCGCCGGUGGUCACUCACUCGCUGCGACAACCAGGAGGAAGGGAGAUGUUUGGUCGAACGGGGACUUGCAAGGCGCAAGAUUCGAUGAAAUCUGUAAGCCUACUAUGAUGCAUUGCUCUCAUAAUAACUGCUCUUCAGCUCUCUUCGCUCUUUUUCCGGGUUCUCUAAACCACGGCCGGGUAAUCUCCCUGGUAGAGUCAGUCGGGCAGUGUCUCCCCCUGCUUGACUGGCUGCACUUUUUACCGGACGGUUUGUUUAAUAAAUAAAACAAGUAUAAAAAACCAUAUAAUGUUUUCAUUUUAUAAAUUGUUAUUCAUUAAUUAAAUAUAUAUAGAUAACAACUUGAUUAACAAGCAUAUUUAUACAACAUUGUUUAUUAAAUAGACCGUCCGGUACAAACUCUUAGUUAGUACUAUUGCUCAAAAACUGAUUCUCUUGAAUCAGCAGACUCGAGAGUUUAUAGCGCCGUCAAGAAGCUGUGUUGUGUUUGUUGAUCGUCUCCACCAUGCACGCGAUAAUCAAGACCAGCAACGUCUUGAUCAAGAAGAAGAAAAGAACGGAGAAGCAAAGAACGACGAUGUAAAUAGCGGGAACAGUUUUCCACACUGGUACGCUGUAUGACGUCGAGCAUUGCCAAAAUGGAAGUGCUCUUUGAAGAACUGAGCGUCUAAAUCUUCUUCAGUCAGAUGAAGCUAACGGAUUCGGAAAUCGUCGAAGAAGCAGAGGACAUCACAGCUGAAAAAAAAAACGUGAGUCAAACUCCUGUGGUUAAGUUCUGCAGCUACUCUCAAAAUAUUUUGUCUUGUUUGCUCGUGUUGAUUGUAGACUGCUUUUAAAUUAUCUAUCAGGGAAGCCCUAAUAAGAGGUCCAAGAGAAAUUUAUUCGGGUCAACUGAUACCAUACCACGUACUAAAUCGUUAAUGGUUUUCAGGUAAAAAAACCACCACAGUUUACCACAGUGGUAAUAAUUCGAGAUGAUGAAGUCUAAUUAGGUAGAAAACCUUUUGAAAAGUUUAGGAGCCAUUGUUAAUUUCAAUUGACCCAUUCCAAUCCCCAGCAACGUAAACCUGCAGAA